rnacentral:rRNA from 1 species
CCUACGGGAGGCAGCAGUGGGGAAUAUUGGGCAAUGGGCGCAAGCCUGACCCAGCGACGCCGCGUGAGGGAUGAAGGCCUUCGGGUUGUAAACCUCUUUCAGUAGGGAAGAAGCGAAAGUGACGGUACCUAAAGAAGAAGCACCGGCUAACUAUGUGCCAGCAGCCGCGGUAAUACAUAGGGUGCAAGCGUUGUCCGGAAUUAUUGGGCGUAAAGAGCUCGUAGGUCGUUUGUCGCGUCGAUUGUGAAAAUCUGAGGCUCAACCUCAGACCUGCAGUCGAUACGGGCAAACUAGAGUGUGGUAGGGGAGACUGGAAUUCCUGGUGUAGCGGUGGAAUGCGCCGAUAUCAGGAGGAACACCAAUGGCGAAGGCAGGUCUCUGGGCCAUAACUGACACUGAGGAGCGAAAGUGCGGGGAGCGAACAGGAUUAGAUACCCUGGUAGUCCGCACCGUAAACGGUGGGCACUAGUUGUGGGAACCUUCCACGGUUUCCGCGACGCAGCAAACGCAUUAAGUGCCCCGCCUGGGGAGUACGAUCGCAAGAUUAAAACUCAAAGGAAUUGACGG